CAGUGUCAUGAGCUUGGCUCACUACAGCCUCCAUCUUCUGAGCUUAAGGAUCCUUCCCUCUCAACCUCCAGGGUAGCUGAGACUACAGUUCCUGAUGAGGGCAGGGAGGUGAAUCCUAAGAACAAUCAUGUGAGUUUGGAAGGAGACCCUUCCCCAGCUGAGCCUCAGCCUGAGCCAUCACCUACAUCUAGACCGAAGACCCAGAGAAACUGCAACAUUUGAAACCCAGGAGCCACUGCUUCAGGAAGGUACCUUCAAGCUCCAAGGACUCUUAUCCUCUUUCUCCUUCCCCACUACCUAGUCAUUAGAGUGUCAGCAUCCACUUCUUGAAAGGAAGAUGCCUGUUUUUCACAUAUCCCAGAAAGCCCCAUUUUAGGACAGCAUUUAGCAGAGUAUAUUCAAGAUCCCACUAACCUUUUCGGAAGACAUGAAUUCCAGAUGAUAUAAGGCUCCAUCAGGAACUGUUCAGGACCAUGCACUCUGUUGAUACUCACAUGGUGGAAUUAUAUUGCCCUUGGCCAACCCUAAAGCCAUCAAGAUAGCAGGUUUCGAAUAAUUCAUCAGUGAAGUCUUCUCAACCAGGUCAAUCACGAGAACUUAGAAGAUGAUUCCUCCCCAGCUGAUCCUCAGGUGAGACCUCAGCCUUGGCCAUCAUCUACAUCUGGAUUCCUGACUCAGAGAAACUGGAACACUAAAGCCCAUUCUUCCUCUCAAGUAACCAGAAAUAAAGUUGAUCCAAGUAACAAGUGGACAGCAUAAAAGAUUGUAUGGAAACUAUAAUGCAUCUACAUCUGCAGUAACUAAUCAUAAAAUGAUUUGUAUGAUCAUUCUUCACAUGAUUAUGAUGACUAUGGGAAAGAAGAAAAAGAAAUGCAACUUUCUUGAUUUAAAAAUUGUAUCUAAGGGGCAUGAAGCACCUUUCUGGGGCAAUGGUAAGAUUUUUUGAAUCUUGACAGCAGUGAUGUUUAUAUUCCUGUAUUCAUUGUCCAAAUGAAUAAAAUAGUUC
rnacentral:lncRNA from 10 species